rnacentral:rRNA from 1 species
AUUGAACGCUGGCGGCAGGCUUAACACAUGCAGGUCGAGCGGGGGAAGGUAGCUUGCUACCGGACCUAGCGGCGGACGGGUGAGUAAUGCUUAGGAAUCUGCCUAUUAGUGGGGGACAACAUCUCGAAAGGGAUGCUAAUACCGCAUACGUCCUACGGGAGAAAGCAGGGGAUCACUUGUGACCUUGCGCUAAUAGAUGAGCCUAAGUCGGAUUAGCUAGUUGGUGGGGUAAAGGCCUACCAAGGCGACGAUCUGUAGCGGGUCUGAGAGGAUGAUCCGCCACACUGGGACUGAGACACGGCCCAGACUCCUAUGGGAGGCAGCAGUAGGGAAUAUUGGACAAUGGGGGGAACCCUGAUCCAGCCAUGCCGCGUGUGUGAAGAAAGCCUUAUGGUUGUAAAGCACUUUAAGCGAGGAGGAGGCUCUUUUGGUUAAUACCCAAGAUGAGUGGACGUUACUCGCAGAAUAAGCACCGGCUAACUCUGUGCCAGCAGCCGCAGUAA